UACGACCACAUCUCGUUGAAACAUCGGUCCCCAUACCAUCGCCGAAGUUAAGCAAUAUCUAGCCUGGCCAGUAGCUAGAUGGGUGACUGUUUGGGAAUACGAGGUAUUGUCAG